CCAGCGUUCCCCACCACCGAAACCCUCGAUUCCCCACCACCGGAACCCUCGAUUCGCCGUCGCCGGCGAGCAGCCAUGGAUGACGCUGACCCUGAGGAGCCGUCGGCCACCAUCCCCGCCCUCCCCGCUGACCUGAUUGUGGAGGAGAUCCUGGUACGGCUUCCGCCCAAGGUGGUCUUGCGCUUCCGCGCGGCCUGCCGCGCAUGGCGCAGCGACACCUCCACGCCAACGUUUCUCCGCUCCAACUACGACCACCAGGUCCCCCUUCCCCUCGUCUUCUUCUCCAACUGCACCAAGGACCCUGAUACCCUCGACACCAUCCAUGUCCUCGCGGCCGCGGGGGCCGAGUACCGGCGGACCCUCCUCGCGUUCGGUUGCGGUACGCUUCACGCCUCUUGUGAAGGCCUCCUUCUCAUCUCCCACGAAAACGCCCGCUACACCAUCUACAACCCAGCCACGCAGCAGGGUCUCAGUCUUCGGGAGCUCACCAGCGCUCGAUAUGCUUUGCUCUACUCCUCACGCUCUUCCGAUGGCGGCGUAGAGUACCGCAUUCUGUUCCGCAAAGGAAGACCUGCCAUGUACCACGUCCUCACGGUGGGCUCUCCUGCACCGCCCAGGCGUAUCCACCUGCCCCAGGGCCCCAAGGAUUUCACCGAGCUGAUAGCUGCAGGGUACCCUUCCUUCCAAUCCCCAUCGAUUCAGUUCAAUGACGCAUUGCACUGGUUAAUGGACAAGAGUCUGGUUGUUUUCGACAAGGUAGUGGAAUCAUUCAGAUCCAUGAGAUGUCCUAGUGCCCUUCCAGAUGCACGCUUGUUUGAGAUCGAUGGCACUUUUGGCAUGAGCGUGCGGGGUGCAAAAGACACAGCAGUGAGUGUCUGGGUAUUGCAGGAUUACCAGGCCGAGGCGUGGACACUCAGGUAUUCUAUCGACUUGGCAAUGGUGGACAGACUUAGAGUAAAGUAUGACUCACGGCACAUGGUGCUGUCCAACGAUGGCCACCUGCUAGUUUCUUCCGGUGCGGGUUCUACUGCCCUUAUUCUGUGUGACGCUCAGGGUACUUUGAUCAAGGAUUUCUCAGUCAAUUCAUGGAACCCAAAAUUCACGGGGCUCUGGUAUAAAGAAAGUAUUGUCAGACAUUCUUUCUUUGAGAGUAAGGGCAAACGUCGCAGGCCGCAGUCAUCUUUAUUCAAAAGGCUCCGAAAAGGUAAUCCAAAUUUCUUGCUACAUACAUAUCUGUGGCUAAUCUCAAUCAUUGGGUGAUUCAUACUUCAAUUCAUAGGUGGGUUCACCUAUCUAGUUAGACCAAAAUAUUCCAUUGUUAGGUGGUGAAACUAGUAUAGCCAGUCAAAGCAGUUGGUCCCUAUAAGUCUGGUUAUCAUUUACUUGUUAGCUUAUAUAAUGUUGUGAUUAAACAAACCCUCUCUCUUAAUUGUUACCUGUUAGUUCAUAUAAGUAUUGCGAUAAAAACAAUGUGUCUUCUUCUUCUGAUUGGGUUAGAUUUAGGAGCUAGAUUUAGUACUAUCAGCCACACUGUUGGAUUUGGAAGGAAUUGUUUUAUCCUUGUUUUGAGCAUCUUGGAACUCUGGAGUAGAAACGACAUCCUCAGAGAUGCUAUCAGCUUUCCAUACAUAUCAAUCUACCUCAAGCUGCAGAAGUCUGGUAACUAGGUUAGUCUUGCCCAAAUUCUUUGCUUACCAUUUAUAAUCUAGGCACCAAGAACAAAUGUACAAGCCAGGGAGCUAUCACAAUGCUCUUCAUGCGCCUGGUUGAUCCAUUGAAGUUAAAUGUGCUUUACUUCAGUGUCGCUUGCAGCAGGAUUAUUUUGUACUCUGUGCUAACCUGAUUAAAUUCAUAACUCGGACUCAAUAGUUUCCUCCUAUUCUCUCAGCAAACCCUGAACAUAUUUUGACCAAGCUGUCACUUUAUUUGAUGUUUUGGUUCGAAUUUAAAUUCUGCUUUUCGCUGAGACUUUUAGUUCUUCACUGGAGAGGUUCUUUUUAUAUAAGCUUGAUUGUUGGUUGGUCUCCUUUGAUUUGCUCUAUAAUUGAAAAAAUAGGUCUGUACUUCUUCUGUUUUGGUCAAGAAUUUGAGAUGAUAUGUUGUGAAUUGUAGUUACAAUAGUAUAGUGCCUUCAACCUAUGUACAAUCAAUAUAUUUUAUUCCAUUCAGUAACUUGCAAUAAUCAUGCGAGCUCAGUGAAUAAAAUGAUAUAUGAUUUCCUUUUUACCCUUCCAGUUAUGUGAUAAUUUUUAGGUCUACAUGCACAUGCUAUCUCCAAUUCCACCAUGGUUAUCAUAUAAUUGAUCUAUACAUUUUUUGGUAAAAGGUGCCUAACUUUUGAGUUGAAAAGAAAGUAACCGAAAGAAAUAUAUUAGCUAAAAUCCAUGGAUUAUUGGAAGCUAUGCAGGGGCCACAGCCAGAUUUUGUACAAAAAGUGAUGUCUCUUAUGUUUCUCCAAGUACCCUCAUUUCCAUAAGCUAGGCACACUUGUACUAAAAUUUGAACAGAACAAAUUAGUUUGCCGCUAACUAAACUUUCCAGCUUGACGGUUGAAAAAAAAGAAGAAACUCCUAGUACAAUCACAAACUUUUUUCAACCUUUUGAUUUCUGCGACAGUGCUAAUCAUUAUGGCCCUAAAAGAUGCAACACGUAUUUUGAUAAAAACUAAAGGAUUCCACUUAACACCCAGAUGCCUUGAUCCAUGUUCUGCCUGGGUGCUAAACCACAGUUUGACCCUUAAGCUUCUCUCUAGUAGUGGCUGGAGAAUCUUGGCCAAAUAGGCUCCUCCAAGAAUAUGCAUGUUUUUGUAUGGAUGGGAUCUCAACUUCUUUGUCUGGGUUUCUAUGUCGUUGUAAGCUAUCUAGUUGGGAUAUAGGUAUAUAAUUUUCUACAAGCUUCUGCUAUGAGACUAGGAAGGUUGUGUUUGUCCAUGGGUCGUAGAUCUUUUUGUACUGUAGACGCGUUUUCAGUUGCAUGUCAUGUUUUUAUUAUGGUUAACUAUCUUGUUCUAUGGAGUCUUCAUGUAUAAACUUGAUGCAAUUAUUUGGUGUAACUGUUUCAAUCCUGGUUUUCAGAUUGCUUGGGAGGUGAAUAGGACCUAGUUUCCUUAGAAGGCAGGGGUGAUUCUACAAUAAGUUAUUCAGUUCCUUGCGCUUCUGUGUGUUGGUAAAACAUGCGUAUUUGUCUCGAAGAGAUCAAAAGUGUAUUUACUUUUUUUACUUGAUGUGAACAGAGGCUGGUCCAAGGUCUGCAUAAUUUUUUUGAUAAAGUUAACAAUGAGGAAUUCACGAAUCAAUCAGGGAGUUUCUUUUGGAGAUAAAGGAUAAUCAUUAUGAUGCUAGGACAUGUGCUGUCAGGUUGAAGGCUACGGUAUGGAACUAGCUAUCCUAAUUUAAUCUGUACUUUUUUGUUCGAAGUUCAAAUUUGCAUGGUUCUGUUCGGAUUUGAAGCAUGUGAAGAUCAUGGCAUCUGAAAACCACAAUUUUUAUGCGCCAUGCAUAAAAUACCAUUGUUUUUAUUCGAAAAGUUGCUUCAUACUCUAACCAGCUCUUAUUUCAGAAAUCUAUUGAAGCUAUAUAAAUUUAGUCUUGACUAUGCCUUUUAAUCUUUGGGCAUGUACUUCUAUUGUCGGCAGACUUACUUUAUGAAUAUGAGAGCUAUAUAAAACAGGAAGUUUGGGUUUGUGUGUUGCAAUAAUCAGACCUUAUGCAAUUCUACAGACCAUGCUAAACAUCAGUGAAGUACCAACAUUAAAUAAUUCUGAUGGAGAACUAAGAAGCUACUUUCAGGCACUGACAGAUCACUUCCGGUCAUUGCGCAUGUCAAGAAAAGCUUGGGGCUACAAUGCCGAGACUAACUUUUGUGUUUCUCGCCACUUGGGCCUGCAAUGUGAAGACUCGUAGACAAUGUUUAGAAUGUGACGCUCUAAGUUGAUUACUUACCACAAGUACGACGUCUUGCUGUAUGGAGUUUGUAGGCACCCAUGGUUGGUUGCUCUUUGACUAACAUGAAGCAUGUCCUUGUCUUGAGAUGAUAAGUCUGGAUCAGUUCAUGGGGUGGUAUUCUGAAAUGAUUUUGCUCCACGCUUUUAAAACAAACAAA